CUCCUCUUCCUGUUUGGAACCUGGGAUUCAAAUGGCCUGGCAGGAAGUGCUCUAGCAGAGGGACUCUGGCCUUGCAAGAGUCCCUAUUUCCCCCUUUUUUUUUGCUUUUCACACAGUAAAACCCUGCUUUACUUCCCUUUGAGUCGUCUGUGAGCCUAAAUUUUUGUGGCUGUGGGAAGGACAAGAACCCCAUCUUUAGCUGAAAUAAGGAAAAGUUCCGCAACAUUUUUGGCACACACCCUGGGGGCUCCGGAAGUGGAUUAUGUUGGCUCGGAGAAUGAUACCUCAAAGGCUGGUGCUGAGAGUUCUUAGAAGCUGCUUCAGAAUCAAGUUGUCUUCUCCUCAUAGUCCUCCACUAAAGCCUGAACAACAAGGAAUGCUGUCGGAACUGGACCUUGAUGAAGGAAAUACUUUCUGACUCAUUGGAAUUUGUUAUAGUCAAAUUUGCCUAUGUGAUAACUUAGGUCUUCACGAUGGCCCAGAGUAAGACGACGCAGGAGGACCCUUCUAGUCAUUUAAUUAUUGCUUGACCAGAACUGUGCCUUGUAAGAAAUGCUUGCUGUUUGGAAACUUGUGAAGACCUGCAUCCCUUUGUAUCUCAAAUAAAGACAGAGGUGUUUCCAGACCUAAGAAUAACAGGAACAUGGAGGAGUGGCAUCUCCAGUGUAGCCACCCACCAAAGCCUCAUCCUGAACACUAUGGCCUAGUGGGUCACUUACAGGGAUGUAGCUGGCAUUGAUGUAGUCAGAGCAAGGAUCAUCAUCUACAUUGGAGAGCUUCACUCGCGUGGCAUCAUCUGGAAGGAGAGAUUUGCUGCUGAGUCUUGGAGUGACUUUUCUACAGUUUAUGUGAUGUGUGUGAUGUGCCUUAGCUCUGAUCCCCACAACAGCCACAGAUGGGAAGUGAUCUUAUCUCCAUUUUGCAGAUGAGGCUCAGGCAGGAUAACUAACUUGCCCCAUGUUGCAUAGGUGGCCUAUAACCAGUCAGACACAGGAGACAACAUGAAGCCCCAUCUGUGCUUCCCUUUCUGACAUUACCACAUUUGCCUGAUGGAGUGGCCAGCUCCCUUUCACUGCUGGAAUGAAUACAAUCCAGAAAACCUACCUUCUAUUGCUUUACCUAAUGGGGUAAGGAAAUUUAAGUAGAAAUUGCUAACCGAAGACUUUGCUAAGCAAACCCAGGUCUGCUUGAUGUCAGAGCCCUUGCUGUUAACCCCAUUUACUGCUUAGCCUCCAAAGAGAAGCAAUAGCAUCACAUGGGGAAAUGUCAACAGCAUAAGAGGACUUUCAUAAUCAGAAUUUAAACUGGCUAUUAUCCCUCUGGAGGGAAGUGCAGGAAUAUACAAGCUAUUUCUUAUUAAAGGCAUUCAGAGCUUGAGAUUGUCCAUAUCGAGCUAUAUUAUAUUUCUUUAGCCUCAUUUCAUUUUUGGAGAAAAAUGCAGAAAUGGCUAGAGGAAGACAGUAUUACAAAUUUUGACACAAAACUUACAGGGCAAUAUAUUGUUGUAUCGAUUUUUCCCUCUAUUCUCCGGCAAGAGUGCAAUGUCACAUGACUGGUUUCGGCCCACGUCUUUUAACUCCUGUUAGGUCAAAUAUGAGUUUGUAAGUGGAGAAUAUGAAAUAGAAUAAAGCAAAUCAUACAGUCCUGGAGAUAACAUAAUAACAUGAAAAUAUAUACACUAGCUAUUGUUUAUGAAUGCCUAGUACUCAACAUGCAUUAGCCCUGAUCCCCACAACAGCCCCACAAGGGAGGUGGUGGUCUCACUAUUUUACAGGUGAGGCUCAGUCAGGAUAACUGAUGUGCCCCAGGUCACCCAAGUGGCAAACCUGAGAAUCAGUUCCAAAAGCUACGUGCUUUUUGCGAAACCACGGCAUCUUCCAGCCAAGCAAAUGGCCAGGCUGAAUAUCUGACAGCUUUAGGUCUGCAUUUGAGAUUUGUUAAUUCUUCCUUACUAUCUGAUCCAGGUAGCCCUUGGUUUGCUGUGUUAUUCUGGAGCUCAAGCUGGCCUCUAAGAUUAGAUGGUAUAUUCUAUUCAGGGCAUAGUUUAGGCAUAAAAGAGUGCUCAGCUGAGAUUCUAA
rnacentral:lncRNA from 1 species